UACAGGGGGUGCAAACGUUGCUCGGAAUUAUUGGGCGUAAAGCGCACGUAGGCGGUCUGUUAUGUCGGAUGUGAAAGCCCUUGGCUCAACUGAGGAAGUGCAAUCCGAAACUGGCAGGCUAGAGUACGUAAGAGGGUCGCGGAAUUCCCGGUGUAGAGGUGAAAUUCGUGAGAUAUCGGGAGGAACGACCGGUGGCGAAGGCGGCGACCUGG
rnacentral:rRNA from 1 species